GAUUGUUGUAAGGAGCUUUCCAGGGGAUUCACGUGUGGAUGGAUACUGGAAACCAGUAGUAUAGAGCAUCAAUGUGUCCACUUCAGGUGCUUGUAGGUAUUCUCCUGAACACUGUACAACAACAAUCUCAUGGCUGCAGAAAAGGGAUGAGAGAAGGGGAAAGCCGAUCUCUACCUGGAGAGAGCAAAUAAUGACAGUAUUUCUGGAGUGCUUGGGCAAGAGCGGACGCACCAAACUUGAAGGUUUCCCUAAGCCUCAUGGCCAGUGAACACAUAUGCAAAAAUGCACUCAAACAG